AUGUAUGCAUCUUCAACAUUAAUGAUGGUUAUAAUGUUGCUUCAGAAACACAAUGAACAACAAAUUCAUAAGCAUUGGAUUGGUUAUUGUUCAGUUCAGAAAUAAAACCAAUCUUUUCUCGAAUGUAAGUGGUAUAGUCGAGUACAUAAAAAAUCUAUAUUUACAAAACCUUGUUUGCUAUCAUAACUGAGAUGGGCCUUAGUGCUUCCUUUCCGGCUUUCCAGACAAACGCCUAGGCCUAGUUCAAAAGAUAGCAUAGAAGAACCAUAUAAAUUAGGGAUUGGUUUAUAGAAAAACCAAUCCGCUAUGCCAUAGAAUAACCAUAUAAAGCAAACGAAUAAGAAUAGCAAUCCUCUGUUCAAACAUAGGAUCAUACACCAAAAGCAAAUUGUACCAGUAGUCGAGGAUAACUGGUUUAGAUGGUUCUUCUAUGGUAUAGAGUGAUGCAAUAUUUUGCCAAAAAGGAUUGGUUCAUAGCAAAACCAUAUAAAUUAGGGGGCAAACGAGUAAGAACAAUAGCCCUAUGUUCUAGCCUGAGACAUGGUGCUACACUACUGCUCAAGUGGUUACGAAGGUGCCUAGUCAAAGGAAGGACACAACCAAGUUACACACAUGAUAUGGCACGACCUACUCUCUGGUUUUGAGAAGCAGACGUAGAUCUAUGAAUGAGAAAUGUAGUUGUCGCUGUUAGUCCAUAUGUGUACAUGGAUCUAACCAUUCUUUGUUUAAUUACUUCUAUCACCUAAUUAUACUACUAAAUCCGACAUGAAACUAUUUGGACACUUAACCAAAGUGAGUGUAACUUGCAGUUUAGUACAAGGGAUAACCUGAAAAGGCAUCGUCGAUGGUAAUGAUUGCUGGUCUAUCUCAGUCAGCUUUGGAUGGAUUAUGUUUUACAAUCACAACUAUGAUGGUAGCGGAUCCUCAUCACCUCCUGGCUAGUACCAAACCAGGCCCUGUAAGCUAAGACAAUGGAAAGAGUAGAGACCAGGGAAAGUGGAGAGAGCCUUACUGCUGGGUGAGACGGCGAGCCGGUGUGGAAGGAGGG
rnacentral:lncRNA from 1 species